rnacentral:tRNA from 1 species
AUUUAAAUAGUGUAAUAUAACACCUAACAUUUUCAUUGUUAUAAUCUCUCGAGUUUAAAUU